AUGUUCCAUACAGUCCAAAGUACACAUCACAUGAAAUCAAACAGGAAAUUUUGGGUAUUUAUGCAUUUGAAUUUUGAAGUUUUGAAACAUAUCCAUGAAGAGAUGGGGGGCUAUAAAUUUUCUGUUCUAGUAGACGAGACAUGUGAUGUAGCAAAAAGAGAGCAGGAUGGCAUUGGUUCUGAGAUUCGUUGA
rnacentral:rRNA from 1 species